GGUCCCAUGGUGUAGCGGUUAGCACUUAGGACUUUGAAUCCUGCAGCGGGAGUUCAAAUCUCCCUGGGACCU
rfam:Toxocara canis scaffold398, whole genome shotgun sequence.